UAACAAACGAAUUAUGGUUGAAAUGACAACUAAUCUACAACCCUUUUAAAUAAUAUACUGCAUGGUUUGGGCACCUUGGCAUCCUGGUCAUAACCAGCUAAUGUAGCACUGGCUAGCUAGCUAGGUCACAUGGAACCAUAAUUUGCAGCAGAAUGUAAGGUAUAUUUAACCUAAAAAAGAAAAAAGCACACACAUAACAUGGCUAUUUACCCCAGGUAGAGGUGUUUCAGGUGGAGGACACUGUUAUCAGCUCUUCUGCAAGCCUCCAGUGCUGGAGUAAGCUGGAUAUUUCUUGCAGUGUGCCCCGAGAAGCGUUCCGGUUGCACCCAGCGUCAGUCAGGGGCCUCAGCACUGACUGACACUCUGUGGAUGAUAGCGAAAUCUAGCAGAAGGAGGGAAUGCGAUGGUCCCCAAUGGAAGUGCGUGCGCGACUGUGCAGGUGUGACGCCAGCUGCUGGGCUCCCAAACACCCCCCCACUUCUCCUGUCACUCACGGUGACAGGCAGACCCUGCAGUGAUCCCAAGGAGAGGGUCAAGUGUUGAAAGCUUCACCCAUUCAGCCAGUGAACCGUCCCAGCUGACCACAAUGAUUUGUCCAGGCUACAGCCUGAAGCUCCAAUAAGAUCUAAGUCUUCCAAGAAAACCAGACUGGACAUCUUUCCCUGGCCCAUAGACUGGUGAGUAAGUUGAAUUUUAUCAAACAAAACAAUAUUCAGAAUUGUGACGACAUCAGCAGAGUAGUUUUUUUUAAUCCAGUUCUCUGUCAUCAAGUUUAAGGUCGGCUCAAAACAGGACCACAUUUUCAUACAAAGAAAUUAGAGUAGUUCUGAAAGUGAUUUGAUUUCAUGAAAGAAUGCAGGUAUCAGCGAUGGAUGACUGCAGAUGUCGCCUUAACUUCCAUUCUGGUGCCAUGUUUACACGGGUUUUCAACAUUUGUGCAGCCUGUGGCGUUAUUAUCUUUUCAAAAUGCUUGUCGAGCAGCAUUACUGGAGCCUGGUCCUGCAGCGCCGACAGGGCCUCGCCUGGAACAUGUGAGGUCGGCGCAUUAGAGGCCAAGUUACCAGCCACUCUCGGAGGGGGCCACUGUCCACGCCGACUUUUACAACUGGUGAGCUGCCAUCAGACCAAAGCGCUGCUAAUCGCAAACUCAUGAAUAGCUAAAGGCCUCACAAAUGAGCGCAGAGAUGGUGUUAUGGUGUUUGCGGAGCGUGGCAGCCAUGUGCCCGUCCAAAUCAGGAGGAGUUUCAGGCCAGUCUUUGUCUGAGGAUCUCAGUUUGGCCAGCGGUCUGGCCCCAGCAGGGACCGGGAUCUAGAGGAUUUGAGUAGAGCUUCGGCAGCUUUUAGAAAUAAGCUUGUUGGGGGAGACGAUGCUGUACAGUACAGCGGUAGAUCAGAGUGCAAGGAAGGAAGUUUAAAGGGAGCCACACAACACAGAAUAUAUGUCGCCUUUUUAUCAGCAUAAGAUAGUGUAUGUUUGCUGUGUUGAUAAGGUAACCACAAUAUAUUAUUACAUAUUUUGUUUGUUCUAUUCAUGUGGUGUUCUAAAACAAAUCUAAAACAGAUUUUCUUGAGUGUUUUUAAUGAUAUUUCACACAGUGACUGCAGUAGUAUUCAAAUUAGUAAAACAAAAAUAGCAAUGUCAAAGUUUUACUUGGUGAUGGCAAUUACUUUUCAAUAUGAUGUAAAUAUAGCUUGCACAGUGUGGAGUCUAUAGAAAAAUGGCACCACUGGCUUCUAGACUGGGUGCCUAUAAGUGCACUUUUAGUAUGCUAGUCCGUAUGCCACUAGUUAGAAAAUCUCCCAGAAAAAUAACGACAUGAUUGCACUGCAGGGAAUAUUUAGCACUUUUCUCCGUUCCCCAGCAGCUAGAACUUUCCCAAGGUGUAUGAAAAGGUGGUUACUGAAACAACUAGAGCAAAAAUGGAAACUCUAGGUGGAAGUUUAGAUGUGAUUAAAUGAGAUGUAUUCCUUCUCAGGGCAAUACAUAAAAAUUAAGGCCAUAUAUAAUUUUUGCUGAUUUUUGGGGUGCUUUUUAAACAUAAUAACUGUGCGUCAGUGUGGCGAGAAUAACAGAAUGGGUUCUCAUUGCUUUGGGUUUUUUUUUUAUUAAAAUACCGGUUUAUUUUAGUCGAGGCCAAUUCAGUCAUGACUGCAGGCAAACAUUUUUAAUGCUUCAGUCUUGGCCUAUAACAUGUCAUAUUUCAGAAUGGACACUUUUUCAGUGCGACUGGUCCGGACCUGAAGAGUUGUGAGUUGGUAAUGUAAGGCCACCCUCUGUGAUGACAGCGUCAUCAAGGCUUUCUGCAACCCUUUUACUCAGAUGUUACCCCCACACAUGCAAGCACUCCCCGAAGUGAAAAUUGACUGUUUGGUGCAGGGGAAAUAACAUAUGAUGGAAUACAGCGAUGGUUCUGGGUGGAGUCAGGCCGAUUAAGUGAUUGUGACCAUUCUGUUACUGAAACGCUUUCUUCAAUCCUGCAGAUAACAUCAUCCUUGGGCUUUAUCUUUGUUCUUGAACUUAUUUUAAACAUUCCCCUCUGCUCUGUCUACUGUCCUCUCCUUUUGGCAUCCAGUUUCAUUACUGGCGACUUAUCUCAUACAUCCUUCCUUUCUGUCACUCUGUUUAUUGUGUGGCAAGGAUUUUAAGAUUAGCUGUUCCCACACACCCCUGAACACUACUGUAUAAUGAAGACUUGAUGCACCAAACCGGUUCUUCCCUGUGUGCUGUGCUAUGAGGGAACUAAAUAUUUAUUUAUAGUUGAAGUAAAUUAAUUAGACUAUCUGGGGGGAAAAAAGAUACUCGGAAAAUGCUGCAUGUUUAAUUUGAAAUGGCAUAUCUGCAAUGCAUUUUUUUUUUCAUUCUAUAAUCCCACAGCAAAUAUGCCGUCUGCUCCAUAUGAUAUUACCAUUCGCAGCCGAUUAUUUGCAUAUAGGUUGCAAAGUAUGAAAGGGCGUUUGAUGUGUUUCUGAUUGAUGAAGAAACUGUGCACUGAAUCAACUGAUAUGGAGUCAUCUUACUAGAACGAAGCUGGAUUUAAGGCACAUGGUUGAAUGCAAAUAGCUAUUAACUGCCAAAAAAAACAAAAUCAAGGGCUCAUCAUGGUCGCUGUAGCUGCACACACGUCUUGCCAUAUCUUGUGCUGAUAUCUAUGGAUUGCACAUUAAUGGUAAUGGCCCCUUUAUGAAUUUAGAGGUUCAUUUAAACUGGGCUUACUAUUCUCAUUUCCAGCUCUACAUUUGUAUUCUUUGACUCCACUAAAGUAGCUUUUUAUGAUUCACAGUUCAGCAUAAUUAUUUUAUACUAGUGCAGCUCCCUACUCCAUUCACUAUCUGAAAUAAGCGGUUUUAGCUCCUUUCCCAUCCUAACUUUCUUCUGAUUAGUUGCUUGUAGUAGUUGCUUGCAGACUUCUCCAUCAACUCCCUACACUGCUAC